GUUGGUGAUUUGUCGGAAGGGGUAUACCCGUUCUCAUUCCGAACACGGAAGUCAAGCCUUCUUGAACCGAUGGUACUCCGCAAGGGGGAGAGUAGGUAGUCGCCAACA
rnacentral:rRNA from 1 species